UAUUACAUUUACUGGAAGUCACUCUGGAAAAGAGUGUCUGCUAAAUGCCCAAAA
rnacentral:sRNA from 1 species